AAACAGUCAUGUGGACCUAGCCUGAGGUAGUAGCCAUAGAUGUCAGUGGCAAGACAGAAGAUUCAGUCUCUAAACAAAACCAUAUUCCAUGUCUUCAUCUAUAAAAGUGGAAGAAUAAUGGCAAAUGCUAUGUGAAGAUGAAUAACAUCAGGUGUUUGGGUUGUUUCCAGGUCUGGCUGUUAUGAUUAAUGCUCCAUGGACAUUUUUGAACAUGUCGUUGCAACUCUCAGAAAGAAGAGUCUAUGUCCCUGUACACAGAAUCUGGCUUGACUUUGCGACUUGCUUUCACCAAUCAAAUGCAGAAGAAGUGAAGUCUGGUCCUCAGGAGGUUUUGUACUCCUCUGCUGACUCUCCUGGGAUGCUAAAAACGCCAUGAGUCCUAGUUACGACUAACUUACAUGGCCUAGUCACCUCCAUUGUCCAAGCCAAUAGGUACCCAGCCAUCACACCUAGAGUGAGGCCAUUCCAAUCUCCAGCUGAUCUGCUGUGGAUGAGCAUGGCCAAGAUCAACUGAGCUUGGCUCAGAUGAGCAAGACUCCCUGGAUAACCUACAAUCUU
rnacentral:lncRNA from 10 species